rnacentral:rRNA from 1 species
UACGGAGGGUGCAAGCGUUAUCCGGAUUUACUGGGUUUAAAGGGUGCGUAGGCGGGCUUUUAAGUCAGCGGUGAAAGCUUCGGGCUUAACCCGGAAAUUGCCGUUGAUACUAUUAGUCUUGAAUUAAGUUGAGGUGGGCGGAAUAUGUCAUGUAGCGGUGAAAUGCUUAGAUAUGACAUAGAACACCGAUUGCGAAGGCAGCUCGCUAAACUUAUAUUGACGCUGAGGCACGAAAGCGUGGGGAUCAAACAGG